rnacentral:rRNA from 1 species
AGUGAACGCUGGCGGUAGGCCUAACACAUGCAAGUCGAACGGCAGCACAGUAAGAGCUUGCUCUUACGGGUGGCGAGUGGCGGACGGGUGAGGAAUACAUCGGAAUCUACUUUUUCGUGGGGGAUAACGUAGGGAAACUUACGCUAAUACCGCAUACGACCUACGGGUGAAAGCAGGGGAUCUUCGGACCUUGCGCGAUUGAAUGAGCCGAUGUCGGAUUAGCUAGUUGGCGGGGUAAAGGCCCACCAAGGCGACGAUCCGUAGCUGGUCUGAGAGGAUGACCAGCCACACUGGAACUGAGACACGGUCCAGACUCCUACGGGAGGCAGCAGUGGGGAAUAUUGGACAAUGGGCGCAAGCCUGAUCCAGCCAUACCACGUGGGUGAAGAAGGCCUUCGGGUUGUAAAGCCCUUUUGUUGGGAAAGAAAAGCAGCAGGUUAAUACCCCGCUGUUCUGACGGUACCCAAAGAAUAAGCACCGGCUAACUUCGUG